CCCCGUUCCGUUCCCGCUCCCGCUCGGUCCUGCCGUGCCCCGGAGAUGCUGUCGGGGCUGCGCCGCCGCUUUUUCCCCCCGGAAGCGACCCACGGCGGCAGAUCCGACGGAGAUCGUCCCUGGGGGAUGUUAUUCUUGACCCCCCGGGGCAAACGGAGGUGUUCGCCUGGUCAGCAUCAGGAGCCAUCCUAACUGAGGCCCUGCUGGGCUCCCUCUUUCCCUUCGGUCGCCGUGGAUGUGCCGGACGCCUCUGGCAGGACUGACCCUGUGGCUUUUACGUCCAGCAUGCCUGCAGGUAAGAAAAGCUGGGAGUGCAGUCCCUCUGCUUUGAUUGCUGUGCCUCUUUGGUAGGGAUUUUGGAGGGGAAUCCCAGAGCGAUUUGGUUUGAAGGGGACCUUCAAAGGCCACCCUGUCUUCCGAGGGCAGGGACACCUUCCACUGUCCCUGCUUGCUCCGAGUCCCGUCCAGCCCGGCCUGGAACACUUCCAGGGAUGGGGCAGCCUCGGCUUCCCUGUGCAGUGUGCUCUAAUAUCUCUCCACUGGCAUCAUGAAAAAUGUCGUCAGCGUGUUUUGUUGAACGACGGGAAGCAGGACCUGGGUGAAAAUGACAUUCUGUUAGGUGUUGGGAUGAGGAGGACUCAUGCGGGCACCUCCAGAGACAGCGGGAACGGGAGCGUGCUGCAGAGAAGGAAAAUUCCAGGUGAAUUGCCACGAGAGGAAAUACUUCCGAGGGGCUUCCCUCCAGAUAACCUCUGAAUAUGCCAGGAGGUUUCAGCCGGGAGAAAGGAGCUGUGGAAGAAAAGCAGCCUAAAAAUAGCCAGCGGGGAUCAUCAGGUUUUCCAGCCAAGAAAAACAAGGAGGGAGAUGAGGGAAUGGGGUUCCAAUUCCUAAUGAUUUGGUGGGUGUAGGAAUGCUUUCUGUGUGUUUUCCAGUCCCUUUUGAUUCCUGGGAUGAUUUUAAAAUGAUGGCUUUAGCAGUCAGCUAAAUUGGAGAUGUUGUUUCUGAGAGGAAAUGAGGCCAAAUAAAUGCAGAGUUUUGGGU